AUUGGAUGAGCCCGCGGCCUAUCAGCUUGUUGGCGGGGUAACGGCCCACCAAGGCGACGACGGGUAGCUGGUCUGAGAGGACGACCAGCCACACUGGGACUGAGACACGGCCCAGACUCCUACGGGAGGCAGCAGUGGGGAAUAUAGCACAAUGGGCGAAAGCCUGAUGCAGCGACGCCACGUGAGGGAUGACGGCCUUCGGGUUGUAAACCUCUUUCAGUAGGGAAGAAGCGAAAGUGACGGUACCUGCAGAAGAAGCGCCGGCUAACUACGUGCCAGCAGCCGCGGCCGAU
rnacentral:rRNA from 1 species